AGCUCCAAUAGCGUAUAUUAAAGUUGUUGCAGUUAAAAAGCUCGUAGUUGGAUAUCUGGUACGUAUGUGUGGCCCGCUGCCUCCCGGUAGUGUGUGCCUAGCAAGCGUACCAUCCUUCUGAGUGUUGUUCUGUGCUUCACGGCGCGGAAUGACGCUCGGAUCCUUUACUUUGAAAAAAUUAGAGUGUUCAAAGCAGGCGAUUGCUUGAAUACAUUAGCAUGGAAUAAUAAAAUAGGACUCCGGUUCUAUUUUGUUGGUUCAUAGGACCAGAGUAAUGAUUAAAAGGGACAGUUGGGGGUGCUUGUAUUGGGCGGCCAGAGGUGAAAUUCUUAGAUUCGCUCAAGACAAACUUAUGCGAAAGCAUUCACCAAGGAUGUCUUCUUUA
rnacentral:rRNA from 1 species